rnacentral:lncRNA from 1 species
GACGACCAUAUUGAUUCAGUUUUUCCACAUGUUGAACCACCAUCACAAACUGCUCCUGUCAAAAAGACGGCUGUCCGUCGUGUCCAUUCAGACAUUACCUCUCUCCAAACACCUCAACCAGACUUCUUGCCUGUGAGAACGCGCGAGAGACUGAGACGAACAUAUUCCGAAAAUCCAGAUGAUGGACAACCACGUCCUAGAUCAGUCUCUUUCACAAGUCCUGUAAGUUUAUAUAUACAUACGAAUUAGGCUGCC